UUUGAAGAUUUUAAGUGAGAAAUCAGAUCGAGAUGGGUGUGAAGGUGGUGUUGAUGAUGAUGACAGUAAUGGUGGUGUUCUCUCUAGGAACAAUGCCUACUCCGUUGGCAGCAACUAGGUUCGACGUUGCUAAGCUGCUUGCGGCCAUUGAGAUACCAACUGGAAAGAGUGGGGACAGUAAUUGGUGUGAUAGUUGUUCUAUCUGCACACGUUCAAUUCCACCAAUCUGCUUUUGCACGGAUCUUACUCUCUGCACCAAAUGCGUCUGCU